rnacentral:tRNA from 1 species
GCUGGCGUAGCUCCAAUGGUAGAGCAACUGACUCGUAAUCAGUAGGCUGUGAGUUCGAUUCUCACCGCCAGCACCA